CAGUCGAACGAGUUCUCGUUGAUGAUCGGUGCUUGCACCGAGAUUCAACAUGGAACGAGUGGCGGACGGGUGAGUAACACGUGGGUAACCUGCCCUUAAGUGGGGGAUAACAUUUGGAAACAGAUGCUAAUACCGCAUAGAUCCAAGAACCGCAUGGUUCUUGGCUGAAAGAUGGCGUAAGCUAUCGCUUUUGGAUGGACCCGCGGCGUAUUAGCUAGUUGGUGAGGUAAUGGCUCACCAAGGCGAUGAUACGUAGCCGAACUGAGAGGUUGAUCGGCCACAUUGGGACUGAGACACGGCCCAAACUACUACGGGAGGCAGCAGUAGGGAAUCUUCCACAAUGGACGCAAGUCUGAUGGAGCAACGCCGCGUGAGUGAAGAAGGCUUUCGGGUCGUAAAACUCUGUUGUUGGAGAAGAAUGGUCGGCAGAGUAACUGUUGUCGGCGUGACGGUAUCCAACCAGAAAGCCAGGGCUAAUUACGUGCCAGCAGCCGCGGUAAUACGUAGGUGGCAAGCGUUAUCCGGAUUUAUUGGGCGUAAAGCGAGCGCAGGCGGUUUUUUAAGUCUGAUGUGAAAGCCCUCGGCUUAACCGAGGAAGCGCAUCGGAAACUGGGAAACUUGAGUGCAGAAGAGGACAGUGGAACUCCAUGUGUAGCGGUGAAAUGCGUAGAUAUAUGGAAGAACACCAGUGGCGAAGGCGGCUGUCUGGUCUGUAACUGACGCUGAGGCUCGAAAGCAUGGGUAGCGAACAGGAUUAGAUACCCUGGUAGUCCAUGCCGUAAACGAUGAAUGCUAGGUGUUGGAGGGUUUCCGCCCUUCAGUGCCGCAGCUAACGCAUUAAGCAUUCCGCCUGGGGAGUACGACCGCAAGGUUGAAACUCAAAGGAAUUGACGGGGGCCCGCACAAGCGGUGGAGCAUGUGGUUUAAUUCGAAGCAACGCGAAGAACCUUACCAGGUCUUGACAUCUUUUGAUCACCUGAGAGAUCAGGUUUCCCCUUCGGGGGCAAAAUGACAGGUGGUGCAUGGUUGUCGUCAGCUCGUGUCGUGAGAUGUUGGGUUAAGUCCCGCAACGAGCGCAACCCUUAUGACUAGUUGCCAGCAUUUAGUUGGGCACUCUAGUAAGACUGCCGGUGACAAACCGGAGGAAGGUGGGGAUGACGUCAAAUCAUCAUGCCCCUUAUGACCUGGGCUACACACGUGCUACAAUGGAUGGUACAACGAGUUGCGAGACCGCGAGGUCAAGCUAAUCUCUUAAAGCCAUUCUCAGUUCGGACUGUAGGCUGCAACUCGCCUACACGAAGUCGGAAUCGCUAGUAAUCGCGGAUCAGCACGCCGCGGUGAAUACGUUCCCGGGCCUUGUACACACCGCCCGUCACACCAUGAGAGUUUGUAACACCCGAAGCCGGUGGCGUAACCCUUUUAGGGAGCGA
rnacentral:rRNA from 2 species